GACGAACGCUGGCGGCGUGCUUAACACAUGCAAGUCGAACGGAAAGGCCCUGCUUUUGUGGGGUGCUCGAGUGGCGAACGGGUGAGUAACACGUGAGUAACCUGCCCUUGACUUUGGGAUAACUUCAUGAAACUGGGGCUAAUACCGGAUAGGAGCUCCUGCUGCAUGGUGGGGGUUGGAAAGUUUCGGCGGUUGGGGAUGGACUCGCGGCUUAUCAGCUUGUUGGUGGGGUAGUGGCUUACCAAGGCUUUGACGGGUAGCCGGCCUGAGAGGGUGACCGGCCACAUUGGGACUGAGAUACGGACCAGAAUCCUACGGGAGGCAGCAGUGGGGAAUAUUGCACAAUGGGCGGAAGCCUGAUGCAGCAACGCCGCGUGCGGGAUGACGGCCUUCGGGUUGUAAACCGCUUUCGCCUGUGACGAAGAGUGAGUGACGGUAAUGGGUAAAGAAGCACCGGCUAACUACGUG
rnacentral:rRNA from 1 species